rnacentral:lncRNA from 1 species
CCCCUUCCGAGCAAUUCUCUCCGUUCAGCUUGGAGCUGGUCUGCAGUGGAAGGAUUUCCUCAUGUUCAAGGUGUUAGCAGCCUCUCUCCGGAAGGGCCCUGCUUUAUGCUCCUCUGCAGUUUAGAGAGAGAGAGAGAGGAGAAAGGUGACCUGCAGCAACGUGCCCCCCGCAGAGCUUCUAUGGGAGCGGCGGCAGAACCGAGAAUCAGACCAGAGCCUCGGGAUAGAACAAUGCGACUUCCCCUCCUGCUCCAGGACCACUGCUCUUGGGGAUCUGAUGCUCACCAGCUGGGAGCUUGUACCCUGGGAAGUUAUACCCCAGGCUCCUAGGAGCCCAGAAGCUGGGGGCCUGCUGUUCCAUGAGAAUCUGGACUCUGCCUCUGACCCCGGGCCCGGCAUUUGCACCUGGGGCCCAUGAUUCUAAGAAUAGCAAUGAGCCUUUGAAUGCUGUACAUAUGAACAUGAGUCUAUUUUUUAGGAAAGAAGCUGACAUACUGUCGUCCAGUUCUUAAAGGAUUCUUCAUAAGGCUCUUUUCCCAGGACUCUUCUAAACCAGUUACUUUGACCCAUAUUCUUGGUCUCCUGUCUGUUCUGUUCUACGUCCUUGAGUUUGAACUGACUUUUUUUUUUCUUCCUGAAAGACCAGUCCUGCUGAAUUCAGAAGAAAUUAUUAAUGAGUCGCCAAGGACUAUCCAAUUUUCCUCUUAAAUUUCUAGAAAAUGUGUCUAAAAGCACUUCCUGAACUCUGUCAUAGAUGGUGGGGCUAAAGACAUAAAUAGAUGCUGACCAAACUCUGCAGUGACAAGUGGUCCGGUGGGAGAGGCAGACAGAUAAACAACUCAGUGGCAUUGACCGUGAGGGAGACAGACGGGCGAGGAGGGACAGGUGCUGUGC